UACGAAGGGGGCUAGCGUUGUUCGGAAUUACUGGGCGUAAAGCGCACGUAGGCGGAUAUUUAAGUCAGGGGUGAAAUCCCGGGGCUCAACCCCGGAACUGCCUUUGAUACUGGGUAUCUCGAGUCCGAGAGAGGUGAGUGGAAUUCCGAGUGUAGAGGUGAAAUUCGUAGAUAUUCGGAGGAACACCAGUGGCGAAGGCGGCUCACUGGCUCGAUACUGACGCUGAGGUGCGAAAGCGUGGGGAGCAAACAGG
rnacentral:rRNA from 1 species